CAGUGGCGAACGGGUGAGUAACACGUGGGAAAUCUGCCCUGCACUCUGGGACAAGCCUUGGAAACGAGGUCUAAUACCGGAUAUGACCUUCCUCUGCAUGGGGGUUGGUGGAAAGCUCCGGCGGUGCAGGAUGAUCCCGCGGCCUAUCAGCUUGUUGGUGGGGUAAUGGCCUACCAAGGCGACGACGGGUAGCCGGCCUGAGAGGGCGACCGGCCACACUGGGACUGAGACACGGCCCAGACUCCUACGGGAGGCAGCAGUGGGGAAUAUUGCACAAUGGGCGAAAGCCUGAUGCAGCGACGCCGCGUGAGGGAUGACGGCCUUCGGGUUGUAAACCUCUUUCAGCAGGGAAGAAGCGCAAGUGACGGUACCUGCAGAAGAAGCACCGGCUAACUACGUGCCAGCAGCCGCGGUAAUACGUAGGGUGCGAGCGUUGUCCGGAAUUAUUGGGCGUAAAGAGCUCGUAGGCGGCCUGUCGCGUCGGAUGUGAAAGCCCGGGGCUUAACCCCGGGUCUGCAUUCGAUACGGGCAGGCUAGAGUGUGGUAGGGGAGAUCGGAAUUCCU
rnacentral:rRNA from 5 species